rnacentral:tRNA from 1 species
GGGUUGUACUCUUGGGAGUGCGUUGGACUCCAAAUUCGAUGUAGUGAGGUUCGAAUCCUUAACGGCUCGCCA